rnacentral:rRNA from 1 species
GAUGAACGCUGGCGGCGUGCCUAAUACAUGCAAGUCGAGCGAACAGACGAGGAGCUUGCUCCUUUGACGUUGGCGGCGGACGGGUGAGUAACACGUAGGUAACCUACCUAUAAGACUGGGAUAACUUCGGGAAACCGGAGAUAAUACCUGAUAAUAUUUCGAACCGCAUGGUUCGAUAGUGAAAGAUGGAUUUGCUAUUACUUAUAGAUGGACCUGCGCCGUAUUAGCUAGUUGGUAAGGUAACGGCUUACCAAGGCAACGAUACGUAGCCGACCUGAGAGGGUGAUCGGCCACACUGGAACUGAGACACGGUCCAGACCCCUACGGGAGGCAGCAGUAGGGAAUCUUCCGCAAUGGGCGAAAGCCUGACGGAGCAACGCCGCGUGAGUGAUGAAGGUCUUCGGAUCGUAAAACUCUGUUAUUAGGGAAGAACAAAAGUGUAAGUAACUGUGCACGUCUUGACGGUACCUAAACAGAAAGCCACGGCUAACUACGUG